GAUGAACGCUGGCGGCGUGCCUAAUACAUGCAAGUCGAGCGAACAGAUGAGGAGCUUGCUCCUCUGACGUUAGCGGCGGACGGGUGAGUAACACGUGGAUAACCUGCCUAUAAGACUGGGAUAACUUCGGGAAACCGGAGCUAAUACCGGAUAAUAUAUUGAACCGCAUGGUUCAAUAGUGAAAGACGGUUUUGCUGUCACUUAUAGAUGGAUCCGCGCCGCAUUAGCUAGUUGGUAAGGUAACGGCUUACCAAGGCAACGAUGCGUAGCCGACCUGAGAGGGUGAUCGGCCACACUGGAACUGAGACACGGUCCAGACUCCUACGGGAGGCAGCAGUAGGGAAUCUACCGCAAUGGGCGAAAGCCUGACGGAGCAACGCCGCGUGAGUGAUGAAGGUCUUCGGAUCGUAAAACUCUGUUAUUAGGGAAGAACAAAUGUGUAAGUAACUAUGCACGUCUUGACGGUACCUAAUCAGAAAGCCACGGCUAACUACGUG
rnacentral:rRNA from 1 species